rnacentral:rRNA from 1 species
CCUACGGGAGGCAGCAGUGAGGAAUAUUGGGCAAUGGGCGGGAGACUGAACCAGCCAAGCCGCGUGAGGGAGGAAGGUACAGAGUAUCGUAAACCUCUUUUGUCAGGGAACAAAGGCGGGGACGUGUCCCCGGAUGAGUGUACCUGAAGAAAAAGCAUCGGCUAACUCCGUGCCAGCAGCCGCGGUAAUACGGAGGAUGCGAGCGUUAUCCGGAUUUAUUGGGUUUAAAGGGUGCGCAGGCGGUCUGUUAAGUCAGCGGUAAAACCCCGGGGCUCAACCCCGGACCGCCGUUGAAACUGGCAGUCUCGAGUUGGAGAGAGGUAUGCGGAAUGCGCGGUGUAGCGGUGAAAUGCAUAGAUAUCGCGCAGAACUCCGAUUGCGAAGGCAGCAUGCCGGCUCCACACUGACGCUGAGGCACGAAAGCGUGGGUAUCGAACAGGAUUAGAUACCCUGGUAGUC